GACUGGAGCUGGGUGGAAUACAAUUGAUGACCUCAUGGGCCCUUGGACGAGGAAAAGAGAGGCUGCCAAAGCUCAAAACAAACUAAAAUAGGACAAGCUGUGGGAAGAACAGAUGAGGAGGCCUUAAAUGCUAAGCUCAGACACUGGGCUUGCUAGGCCAGGAAACCCCCAGCCACGGAUGGGUUCUAACUGAUUUCUGUGUCCCGAAUAGAGCCUGACACCAGCGAUUUGCCACGAGAAGGACAUGGCCUGGUGGCUACUGCACCUUCAGCUUCCGCACACAUAAAUACAUAUGGAACACACCGGAGCUAGUCUCCAGCCUGGAGCCAUGCCUACAGCAUGGCUGAAGCAUGAAGCAGGGCUAACUGGCCACAUUCAACCUCCAUCAGCUGAAGCACAAUACACCUGCAAACCUAUGAGUCUG
rnacentral:lncRNA from 1 species